GGCUGGGCGGGUAGGCCGGAGCCGGGCUGGGAGGCGCAGGUGAUGGAGGAGCAGGGCUGGGCGGGUAGGCCGGAGCCGGGCUGGGAGGCGCAGGAGACGGAGGAGCAGGGCUGGGCGGAUAGGCCGGGGCCGGGCUGGGAGGCGCAGGCGACGGAGGAGGAGGGCUGGGCGGGUAGGCCGGGGCCGGGCUGGGCGGAGCAGGAGACGGCGGCGCCGGGCUGGGCGGGUAGGCCGGAGCCGGGCUGGGCGGUGCAGGAGAUGGCGGCGCCGGGCUGGGCGGGUAGGCCGGGGCCGGGCUGGGAGGCGCAGGCGAUGGAGGAGCAGGGCUGGGCGGGUAGGCCGGAGCCGGGCUGGGAGGCAGAGGCGAUGGAGGAGCAGGGUUGGGCGGGUAGGCCGGGGCCGGGCUGGGCGGCGCAGGCGAUGGAGGAGCAGGGCUAGGAGGGUAGGCCGGAGCCGGGCUGGGCGGCGCAGGCGAUGGAGGAGCAGGGCUGGGCGGGUAGGCCGGAGCCGGGCUGGGCGGCGCAGGCGAUGGAGGAGCAGGGCUGGGCGGGUAGGCCGGGGCCGGGCUGGGAGGCGCAGGCGAUGGAGGAGCAGGGCUGGGCGGGUAGGCCGGAGCCGGGCUGGGCGGCGCAGGCGAUGGAGGAGCAGGGCUGGGCGGGUAGGCCGGGGCCGGGCUGGGCGGCGCAGGCGAUGGAGGAGCAGGGCUGGGCGGGUAGGCCGGAGCCGGGCUGGGCGGAGCAGGCGAUGGAGGAGCAGGGCUGGGCGGGUAGGCCGGAGCCGGGCUGGGAGGCGCAGGCGAUGGAGGAGCAGGGCUGGGCGGGUAGGCCGGAGCCGGGCUGGGCGGCGCAGGAGAUGGAGGAGCAGGGCUGGGAGGGUAGGCCGGGGCCGGGCUGGGCGGCGCAGGAGAUGGAGGAGCAGGGCUGGGCGGGUAGGCCGGAGCCGGGCUGGGAGGCGCAGGCGAUGGAGGAGCAGGGCUGGGCGGGUAGGCCGGAGCCGGGCUGGGCGGCGCAGGCGACGGCGGCGCCGGGCUAGGAGGGUAGGCCGGGGCCGGGCUGGGCGGAGCAGGCGAUGGAGGAGCAGGGCUGGGCGGGUAGGCCGGAGCCGGGCUGGGAGGCGCAGGCGAUGGAGGAGCAGGGCUGGGCGGGUAGGCCGGAGCCGGGCUGGGCGGCGCAGGCGAUGGAGGAGCAGGGCUGGGCGGGUAGGCCGGGGCCGGGCUGGGCGGCGCAGGAGAUGGAGGAGCAGGGCUGGGCGGGUAGGCCGGAGCCGGGCUGGGAGGCGCAGGCGAUGGAGGAGCAGGGCUGGG
rnacentral:lncRNA from 1 species